rnacentral:rRNA from 1 species
GGUUAAGCGACUAAGCGUACACGGUGGAUGCCCUGGCAGUCAGAGGCGAUGAAGGACGUGCUAAUCUGCGAUAAGCGUCGGUAAGGUGAUAUGAACCGUUAUAACCGGCGAUUUCCGAAUGGGGAAACCCAGUGUGAUUCGUCACACUAUCAUUAACUGAAUCCAUAGGUUAAUGAGGCGAACCGGGGGAACUGAAACAUCUAAGUACCCCGAGGAAAAGAAAUCAACCGAGAUUCCCCCAGUAGCGGCGAGCGAACGGGGAGCAGCCCAGAGCCUGAAUCAGUGUGUGUGUUAGUGGAAGCGUCUGGAAAGGCGCGCGAUACAGGGUGACAGCCCCGUACACAAAAAUGCACAUGCUGUGAGCUCGAUGAGUAGGGCGGGACACGUGGUAUCCUGUCUGAAUAUGGGGGGACCAUCCUCCAAGGCUAAAUACUCCUGACUGACCGAUAGUGAACCAGUACCGUGAGGGAAAGGCGAAAAGAACCCCGGCGAGGGGAGUGAAAAAGAACCUGAAACCGUGUACGUACAAGCAGUGGGAGCACGCUUAGGCGUGUGACUGCGUACCUUUUGUAUAAUGGGUCAGCGACUUAUAUUCUGUAGCAAGGUUAACCGAAUAGGGGAGCCGAAGGGAAACCGAGUCUUAACUGGGCGUUAAGUUGCAGGGUAUAGACCCGAAACCCGGUGAUCUAGCCAUGGGCAGGUUGAAGGUUGGGUAACACUAACUGGAGGACCGAACCGACUAAUGUUGAAAAAUUAGCGGAUGACUUGUGGCUGGGGGUGAAAGGCCAAUCAAACCGGGAGAUAGCUGGUUCUCCCCGAAAGCUAUUUAGGUAGCGCCUCGUGAAUUCAUCUCCGGGGGUAGAGCACUGUUUCGGCAAGGGGGUCAUCCCGACUUACCAACCCGAUGCAAACUGCGAAUACCGGAGAAUGUUAUCACGGGAGACACACGGCGGGUGCUAACGUCCGUCGUGAAGAGGGAAACAACCCAGACCGCCAGCUAAGGUCCCAAAGUCAUGGUUAAGUGGGAAACGAUGUGGGAAGGCCCAGACAGCCAGGAUGUUGGCUUAGAAGCAGCCAUCAUUUAAAGAAAGCGUAAUAGCUCACUGGUCGAGUCGGCCUGCGCGGAAGAUGUAACGGGGCUAAACCAUGCACCGAAGCUGCGGCAGCGACGCUUAUGCGUUGUUGGGUAGGGGAGCGUUCUGUAAGCCUGCGAAGGUGUGCUGUGAGGCAUGCUGGAGGUAUCAGAAGUGCGAAUGCUGACAUAAGUAACGAUAAAGCGGGUGAAAAGCCCGCUCGCCGGAAGACCAAGGGUUCCUGUCCAACGUUAAUCGGGGCAGGGUGAGUCGACCCCUAAGGCGAGGCCGAAAGGCGUAGUCGAUGGGAAACAGGUUAAUAUUCCUGUACUUGGUGUUACUGCGAAGGGGGGACGGAGAAGGCUAUGUUGGCCGGGCGACGGUUGUCCCGGUUUAAGCGUGUAGGCUGGUUUUCCAGGCAAAUCCGGAAAAUCAAGGCUGAGGCGUGAUGACGAGGCACUACGGUGCUGAAGCAACAAAUGCCCUGCUUCCAGGAAAAGCCUCUAAGCAUCAGGUAACAUCAAAUCGUACCCCAAACCGACACAGGUGGUCAGGUAGAGAAUACCAAGGCGCUUGAGAGAACUCGGGUGAAGGAACUAGGCAAAAUGGUGCCGUAACUUCGGGAGAAGGCACGCUGAUAUGUAGGUGAAGUCCCUCGCGGAUGGAGCUGAAAUCAGUCGAAGAUACCAGCUGGCUGCAACUGUUUAUUAAAAACACAGCACUGUGCAAACACGAAAGUGGACGUAUACGGUGUGACGCCUGCCCGGUGCCGGAAGGUUAAUUGAUGGGGUCAGCGCAAGCGAAGCUCUUGAUCGAAGCCCCGGUAAACGGCGGCCGUAACUAUAACGGUCCUAAGGUAGCGAAAUUCCUUGUCGGGUAAGUUCCGACCUGCACGAAUGGCGUAAUGAUGGCCAGGCUGUCUCCACCCGAGACUCAGUGAAAUUGAACUCGCUGUGAAGAUGCAGUGUACCCGCGGCAAGACGGAAAGACCCCGUGAACCUUUACUAUAGCUUGACACUGAACAUUGAGCCUUGAUGUGUAGGAUAGGUGGGAGGCUUUGAAGUGUGGACGCCAGUCUGCAUGGAGCCGACCUUGAAAUACCACCCUUUAAUGUUUGAUGUUCUAACGUUGACCCGUGAUCCGGGUUGCGGACAGUGUCUGGUGGGUAGUUUGACUGGGGCGGUCUCCUCCUAAAGAGUAACGGAGGAGCACGAAGGUUGGCUAAUCCUGGUCGGACAUCAGGAGGUUAGUGCAAUGGCAUAAGCCAGCUUGACUGCGAGCGUGACGGCGCGAGCAGGUGCGAAAGCAGGUCAUAGUGAUCCGGUGGUUCUGAAUGGAAGGGCCAUCGCUCAACGGAUAAAAGGUACUCCGGGGAUAACAGGCUGAUACCGCCCAAGAGUUCAUAUCGACGGCGGUGUUUGGCACCUCGAUGUCGGCUCAUCACAUCCUGGGGCUGAAGUAGGUCCCAAGGGUAUGGCUGUUCGCCAUUUAAAGUGGUACGCGAGCUGGGUUUAGAACGUCGUGAGACAGUUCGGUCCCUAUCUGCCGUGGGCGCUGGAGAACUGAGGGGGGCUGCUCCUAGUACGAGAGGACCGGAGUGGACGCAUCACUGGUGUUCGGGUUGUCAUGCCAAUGGCACUGCCCGGUAGCUAAAUGCGGAAGAGAUAAGUGCUGAAAGCAUCUAAGCACGAAACUUGCCCCGAGAUGAGUUCUCCCUGACUCCUUGAGAGUCCUGAAGGAACGUUGAAGACGACGACGUUGAUAGGCCGGGUGUGUAAGCGCAGCGAUGCGUUGAGCUAACCGGUACUAAUGAACCGUGAGGCUUAACCUU